rnacentral:piRNA from 1 species
UUCCGACAAACCUGGUUUUUC